AGUCUUGUCAAGCAGUGUUGGUGGAGCUCUUAAAGGGAGAGCAGCCUCUUCUCCUUGCUCUUCUCCUUUUCCUUGGGAGCUUGCUUCUCUUUGGCUGAAGGCUAGAGCUUGGGCUUGGAGGAGAUUCCUUUCACUGGCUAGAUUUGAGAUUUUGUAGCAAGCCCUAGUUCGCGGGACUUGGUGAACCCGACUCUGUAGCUCGGAGCCAGGAGAAGAUCAAGUCUAGGAUCGGGGGUGUCUGGGAGUCAUAUUGUCUGCUUCUGUCAGUAUUUCCGUAUUACCCCCUUUGUGAGUGUAAGGCUUGUACGCUGACUGUAUUUGUGUUUUGCAAACUGUUGGGUUAUAUUUGUAUUCUGUAGGGCUGCUAAAGCCCAUACUUGUAGUAUUUCAGUUUCCACUAUCAUAUUCGUGCUUCUGUAUUA